UGGGGAAUUUUGCACAAUGGGCGCAAGCCUGAUGCAGCUACGCCGCGUGAGGUAUGAAGGCCUUCGGGUUGUAAACCUUUUUCGCUCAUGGUCAAGCCGCAGCUUUGGGUUGUGGUGAGGGUAGUGGGUAAAGAAGCGCCGGCUAACUACGUGCCAGCAGCCGCGGUAAUACGUAGGGCGCGAGCGUUGUCCGGAUUUACUGGGUGUAAAGGGCGUGCAGGCGGGCUGAUAAGUCAGAUGUGAAAUCCCCGAGCUUAACUCGGGAACUGCAUCUGAUACUGUUGGUCUUGAGUGCUGGAGAGGAGAGUGGAAUUCCUAGUGUAGCGGUAAAAUGCGCAGAUAUUAGGAGGAACACCAGUGGCGAAGGCGGCUAUCUGGACAGUAACUGACGCUGAGGCGCGAAAGCGUGGGUAGCAAACAGG
rnacentral:rRNA from 1 species